GAUGAACGCUGGCGGCGUGCCUAAUACAUGCAAGUCGAGCGAACGGACGAGAAGCUUGCUUCUCUGAUGUUAGCGGCGGACGGGUGAGUAACACGUGGAUAACCUACCUAUAAGACUGGGGUAACUUCGGGAAACCGGAGCUAAUACCGGAUAAUAUUUUGAACCGCAUGGUUCAAAAGUGAAAGACGGUCUUGCUGUCACUUAUAGAUGGAUCCGCGCUGCAUUAGCUAGUUGGUAAGGUAACGGCUUACCAAGGCAACGAUGCAUAGCCGACCUGAGAGGGUGAUCGGCCACACUGGAACUGAGACACGGUCCAGACUCCUACGGGAGGCAGCAGUAGGGAAUCUUCCGCAGUGGGCGAAAGCCUGACGGAGCAACGCCGCGUGAGUGAUGAAGGUCUUCGGAUCGUAAAACUCUGUUAUUAGGGAAGAACAUAUGUGUAAGUAACUGUGCACAUCUUGACGGUACCUAAUCAGAAAGCCACGGCUAACUACGUG
rnacentral:rRNA from 1 species